rnacentral:rRNA from 1 species
CCUACGGGUGGCAGCAGUGAGGAAUAUUGGUCAAUGGCCGAGAGUCUGAACCAGCCAAGUAGCGUGAAGGAUGACUGCCCUAUGGGUUGUAAACCUCUUUUAUGCGGGAAUAAAACUAUGCACGUGUGCCUUUUUGCAUGUACCUCAUGAAUAAGGAUCGGCUAAUUCCGUGCCAGCAGCCGCGGUAAUACGGAGGGUCCGGGCGUUAUCCGGAUUUAUUGGGUUUAAAGGGAUCGUAGAUGGGUGGUUAAGUGAGUUGUGAAAUUUUGCGGCUCAACCGUAAGAUUGCAGUGGAUACUGGAAGCCGUGAGUACAGUUGAGGCAGGCGGAAUUCGUGGUGUAGCGGUGAAAUGCUUAGAUAUCACGAAGAACCCCGAUUGCGAAGGCAGCUUACUAAACUGUGACUGACAUUGAUGCUCGAAAGUGUGGGUAUCGAACAGGAUUAGAUACCCUAGUAGUC